rnacentral:rRNA from 1 species
AUUGAACGCUGGCGGCAGGCCUAACACAUGCAAGUCGGACGGUAGCACAGAGGAGCUUGCUCCUCGGGUGACGAGUGGCGGACGGGUGAGUAAUGUCUGGGGAUCUGCCCGAUAGAGGGGGAUAACCACUGGAAACGGUGGCUAAUACCGCAUAACGUCGCAAGACCAAGGAGGGGGACCUUCGGGCCUCUCACUAUCGGAUGAACCCAGAUGGGAUUAGCUAGUAGGCGGGGUAAUGGCCCACCUAGGCGACGAUCCCUAGCUGGUCUGAGAGGAUGACCAGCCACACUGGAACUGAGACACGGUCCAGACUCCUACGGGAGGCAGCAGGGGGGAAUAUUGCACAAUGGGCGCAAGCCUGAUGCAGCCAUGCCGCGUGUAUGAAGAAGGCCUUCGGGUUGUAAAGUACUUUCAGCGGGAGGAAGGCGAUGUGGUUAAUAACCUUGUCGAUUGACGUUACCCGCAGAAGAAGCACCGGCUAACUCCGUGCCAGCCGCCGCGGUAA